rnacentral:rRNA from 1 species
UGUUUCGGCUAGGGGGCCAUCCCGGCUUACCAACCCGAUGCAAACUGCGAAUACCGGAGAAUGUUAUCACGGGAGACACACGGCGGGUGCUAACGUCCGUCGUGAAGAGGGAAACAACCCAGACCGCCAGCUAAGGUCCCAAAGUCAUGGUUAAGUGGGAAACGAUGUGGGAAGGCCCAGACAGCCAGGAUGUUGGCUUAGAAGCAGCCAUCAUUUAAAGAAAGCGUAAUAGCUCACUGGUCGAGUCGGCCUGCGCGGAAGAUGUAACGGGGCUAAACCAUGCACCGAAGCUGCGGCAGCGAACGUAUCACCCAAGACAACUUUACGGAGUUGACGAUUGACGGAGCGAAGCGACGUCAAAGCGUAUACAAAGUCGAGUUGGCUUAGGGAUACGUUCGUUGGGUAGGGGAGCGUUCUGUAAGCCUGUGAAGGUGGCCUGUGAGGGUUGCUGGAGGUAUCAGAAGUGCGAAUGCUGACAUAAGUAACGAUAAAGCGGGUGAAAAGCCCGCUCGCCGGAAGACCAAGGGUUCCUGUCCAACGUUAAUCGGGGCAGGGUGAGUCGACCCCUAAGGCGAGGCCGAAAGGCGUAGUCGAUGGGAAACGGGUUAAUAUUCCCGUACUUGGUGUUACUGCGAAGGGGGGACGGAGAAGGCUAUGUUGGCCGGGCGACGGUUGUCCCGGUUUAAGCGUGUAGGUGUGUGUUCCAGGUAAAUCCGGUUCACUUUAACACUGAGGCGUGACGACGAGGCACUACGGUGCUGAAGCAACAAAUGCCCUGCUUCCAGGAAAAGCCUCUAAGCAUCAGGUAACAUCAAAUCGUACCCCAAACCGACACAGGUGGUCAGGUAGAGAAUACCAAGGCGCUUGAGAGAACUCGGGUGAAGGAACUAGGCAAAAUGGUGCCGUAACU